rnacentral:rRNA from 1 species
GAUGAACGCUGGCGGCGUGCCUAAUACAUGCAAGUCGAGCGAACAGACGAGGAGCUUGCUCCUCUGACGUUAGCGGCGGACGGGUGAGUAACACGUGGAUAACCUACCUAUAAGACUGGGAUAACUUCGGGAAACCGGAGCUAAUACCGGAUAAUAUAUUGAACCGCAUGGUUCAAUAGUGAAAGACGGUUUUGCUGCCACUUAUAGAUGGAUCCGCGCCGCAUUAGCUAGUUGGUAAGGUAACGGCUUACCAAGGCGACCAUGCGUAGCCGACCUGAGAGGGUGAUCGGCCACACUGGAACUGAGACACGGUCCAGACUCCUACGGGAGGCAGCAGUAGGGAAUCUUCCGCAAUGGGCGAAAGCCUGACGGAGCAACGCCGCGUGAGUGAUGAAGGUCUUCGGAUCGUAAAACUCUGUUAUUAGGGAAGAACAAAUGUGUAAGUAACUAUGCACGUCUUGACGGUACCUAAUCAGAAAGCCACGGCUAACUACGUG